UGAGGAAUAUUGGUCAAUGGGCGAGAGCCUGAACCAGCCAAGUAGCGUGCAGGAAGACGGCCCUAUGGGUUGUAAACUGCUUUUAUGUGGGGAUAAAGUGCGUGACGUGUCAUGCAUUGCAGGUACCACAUGAAUAAGGACCGGCUAAUUCCGUGCCAGCAGCCGCGGUAAUACGGAAGGUCCGGGCGUUAUCCGGAUUUAUUGGGUUUAAAGGGAGCGUAGGCUGUCUAUUAAGCGUGUUGUGAAAUAUACCGGCUCAACCGGUGGCUUGCAGCGCGAACUGGCAGACUUGAGUGCGCACAACGUAGGCGGAAUUCAUGGUGUAGCGGUGAAAUGCUUAGAUAUCAUGACGAACUCCGAUUGCGAAGGCAGCUUACGGGAGCGCAACUGACGCUAAAGCUCGAAGGUGCGGGUAUCGAACAGG
rnacentral:rRNA from 1 species